GACGAACCGUGCGAACGUUAUUCGGAAUCACUGGGCUUAGAGCGCGUGUAGGCGGGAGGGCACGUCCGUUGCUGAAAUCCCCCGGCUCAACCGGGGAACGGGCGCGGAUACGACCUUCCUGGAGGGGCGUAGGGGGACCUGGAACUUCCGGUGGAGCGGUGAAAUGCGUUGAGAUCGGAAGGAACGCCCGUGGCGAAAGCGAGGUCCUGGACGCCUACUGACGCUGAGACGCGAAAGCCAGGGGAGCGAACGGG
rnacentral:rRNA from 1 species